UCCAUAAGUUAUUUUAAAAUAACUUGAGGGGUUCGCCGUGAGGGGACAGGUAGACAAUUAAUAGCCCCCGACCCGUCCUGGCAAACCACGGGGCCGCCGCACCCUCCUUCGGAACCUUCGCCUUAUUGCAGGGCGGGAUACGCGGCGGCGGUUCCCACGGGAUCGCUUCUCCCUCCCCUGCCGCCGCGGCCCUCAGCCGCGAGCCACCCUCGAGCCCCGUACGCCCGGAGUCUCCGCUGCGCCCUUCCCCCACCACGCCUGGACCUGCUUUGCGCAUGGAAGCGGACGCUGCUUCAACUCGGCAGACGUCCGCUCUUGGGCCCAGUUGCGCGUUGCUCGUAGAAAGGCGAUUCUGGGUCGUGACACACGUUUUUUAAAAACUGCAGAGUAGCAGAAAGAGGAGGGGCCGCCGCAGAGCCCAACCGCGCUUUUCCCAAGCGGGACCUGCCUGGGACGCGUUAGUGCCCCAUGCCAGGGCAAAGUAUCAGAAGAAGCUGGAGAGUGAUGAUGCUCUGGGCACCAGAACAGAGCACCGAGGCUGUGAGAGGAUUUCCCAGGGAAGGGCUGUCAUGGAAGGUGCAGGGACAACCUGGUUCUGUCCUCCCCUGUUUGGGGGCAGACACCUUGAGUUCUGCAAAGGAUGCCAGUCACAAAAUAGAUGCACGUUCAUCAUGGACAACCGGAAUAUGAAGAUGCUCGAAAAAUAAACGUAACCCUUAGCACUCCUGUAGGCGAGAC
rnacentral:lncRNA from 1 species